CAGCCGCCGCGGUAAUACGGAGGGCGCGAGCGUUGUCCGGAUUCACUGGGCGUAAAGCGGGUGUAGGCGGCCCGUUAAGACAGGUGUGAAAUCCCUGGGCUCAACCUAGGAAUUGCGCUUGUGACUGGCGGGCUCGAGUACGGUAGAGGGGGGUGGAAUUCCUGGUGUAGCAGUGAAAUGCGUAGAGAUCAGGAGGACCACCGAUGGCGAAGGCAGCCCCCUGGGCCUGUACUGACGCUCAUGCACGAAAGCGUGGGGAGCAAACAGGAUUAGAUACCCUGGUAGUCCACGCCCUAAACGAUGGGUACUAGCCGUUUGGUGCGCGAUAGCGCUGAGUGGCGAAGCUAACGCGUGAAGUACCCCGCCUGGGGAGUACGGCCGCAAGGUUGAAACUUAAAGGAAUUGGCGGG
rnacentral:rRNA from 1 species